UCAAGUAGAAAAGAGCAUAAGGCGGAUGCCUUGGCACUGGGAGCCGAAGAAGGACGUGACAAGCUGCGAAAAGCUGCGGGGAGGAGCAAAUAUCCGCUGAUCCGCAGAUAUCCGAAUGGGGGAACCCGCCUGUAGUAAUAUACAGGCAUCCUCAGAUGAAAAAGAUAGUCUGAGAGAAGGAAACGGGGUGAACUGAAACAUCUAAGUAGCUCCAGGAGAAGAAAGAAACAUCGAUUUCCUAAGUAGCGGCGAGCGAACGGGAAAGAGGCCAAACCGAAGGACUUGUUCUUCGGGGUUGCGGACCACCAGAAGGUAUUGAGGAAGAUAGUCGAAUGGUUUUGGAAAAGCCAAGCGAAGAGGGUGAAACUCCCGUAGACGAAAUCGGAAACAAGCCAGGUGGCACCAGAGUAGUACCGGACACGUGAAACCCGGUAUGAAGCCGGAGGGCCCACCCUCCAAGCCUAAAUACUACCCAGUGACCGAUAGCGAAUAGUACCGUGAGGGAAAGGUGAAAAGGACCCCGGGAGGGGAGUGAAAUAGAACCUGAAACCUUAUGCUUACAAGCAAUGGGAGCGGAAGUGACCAUGUACUUUUUGUAGAACGGGCCAACGAGUUAUGGUAUGUAGCGAGGUUAAGGUGCUGGAGCACUGAAGCCGAAGUGAAAGCGAGCCUUAAUAGGGCGAAAGUUACAUGCUGUAGACCCGAAACCGGGUGACCUAUCCAUGUGCAGGUUGAAGCGAGAGUAAAAUCUCGUGGAGGACCGAACCCGUAUACGUUGAAAAGUGUUGGGAUGACGUGUGGAUAGCGGUGAAAUUCCAAUCGAACUCGGAGAUAGCUGGUUCUCCUCGAAAUAGCUUUAGGGCUAGCCUCAGGGAGAGAUACACGGAGGUAGAGCACUGAAUGUUCUAGGGGCCUUCACCGGUUACCGAAAACUAUCAAACUCCGAAUGCCGUGCAAUCAUACCUGGGAGUCAGACUAUGAGAGAUAAGUUCCAUGGUCGAAAGGGAAAGAGCCCAGACCUACAGCUAAGGUCCCAAAAUGUAAGUUAAGUGGAAAAGGAUGUGGAGCUGCAUAAACAGCUAGGAUGUUGGCUUAGAAGCAGCCACUCAUUUAAAGAGUGCGUAACAGCUCACUAGUCGAGUGGCUCUGCGCCGAAGAUAAACGGGGCUAAAACUUACUACCGAAGCUUAGGAUACCGCAAGGUAUGGUAGAGGAGCAUUCAUUACGGGCAGAAGCCGGAUCGUAAGGUUUGGUGGACUGUAAUGAAGAGAGAAUGUUGGCAUGAGUAGCGAAAGGCAGGUGAGAAUCCUGCCCACCGAAAAUCUAAGGUUUCCUGAGGAAGGUUCGUCCACUCAGGGUUAGUCGGGGCCUAAGCCAAGGACGAGAGUCGUAGGCGAUGGACAACUGGUUGAGAUUCCAGUACCACCGAAAGUCGUAUGAGCGAAGUGGGGACACAGAAGGAUAAGCAGAGCACGCCGCUGGUAGAGCGUGUCCAAGCAGUGAGGCUGAUAUGUAGGCAAAUCCGCAUAUCGAAAGGCUGGGCUGUUACGGGGAGGGAAAAGAAGUACCGGAAGCUGCUGAUUUCACACUGUCAAGAAAAGCCGCUAGCGAGACCGUAGGUGCCCGUACCGCAAACCGACACAGGUAGAUGAGGAGAGAAUCCUAAGGUGAGCGAGAGAACUAUUGUUAAGGAACUCGGCAAAAUGACCCCGUAACUUCGGGAGAAGGGGUGCCAUCGAAAGAUGGCCGCAGUGAAAAGGCCCAGGCGACUGUUUAGCAAAAACACAGGUCUCUGCUAAAGCGAAAGCUGAAGUAUAGGGGCUGACGCCUGCCCGGUGCUGGAAGGUUAAGGGGACUGCUUAGAGCAAUCGAAGGCAUGAACUUAAGCCCCAGUAAACGGCGGCCGUAACUAUAACGGUCCUAAGGUAGCGAAAUUCCUUGUCAGGUAAGUUCUGACCCGCACGAAAGGCGUAACGAUCUGGGCGCUGUCUCAACAAUAGACUCG
rnacentral:rRNA from 1 species